AGCUUGCUAUCAGGCGUCGAGCGGCGGACGGGUGAGUAAUACUUAGGAAUCUACCUAGUAGUGGGGGAUAGCACGGGGAAACUCGUAUUAAUACCGCAUACGACCUACGGGAGAAAGGGGGCAGUUUACUGCUCUCGCUAUUAGAUGAGCCUAAGUCGGAUUAGCUAGAUGGUGGGGUAAAGGCCUACCAUGGCGACGAUCUGUAGCUGGUCUGAGAGGAUGAUCAGCCACACCGGGACUGAGACACGGCCCGGACUCCUACGGGAGGCAGCAGUGGGGAAUAUUGGACAAUGGGGGAAACCCUGAUCCAGCCAUGCCGCGUGUGUGAAGAAGGCCUUUUGGUUGUAAAGCACUUUAAGCAGUGAAGAAGACUCCGUGGUUAAUACCCACGGACGAUGACAUUAGCUGCAGAAUAAGCACCGGCUAACUCUGUGCCAGCAGCCGCGGUAAUACAGAGGGUGCAAGCGUUAAUCGGAAUUACUGGGCGUAAAGGGAGCGUAGGUGGCUCGAUAAGUCAGAUGUGAAAUCCCCGGGCUCAACCUGGGAACUGCAUCUGAUACUGUUGAGCUAGAGUAUGUGAGAGGAAGGUAGAAUUCCAGGUGUAGCGGUGAAAUGCGUAGAGAUCUGGAGGAAUACCGAUGGCGAAGGCAGCCUUCUGGCAUAAUACUGACACUGAGGCUCGAAAGCGUGGGUAGCAAACAGGAUUAGAUACCCUGGUAGUCCACGCCGUAAACGAUGUCUACUAGUCGUUGGGUCCCUUGAGGACUUAGUGACGCAGCUAACGCAAUAAGUAGACCGCCUGGGGAGUACGGCCGCAAGGUUAAAACUCAAAUGAAUUGAC
rnacentral:rRNA from 1 species